AAAGGUCCAGUUCCCUACGGGGGCCAGCAGUCUAGAAAUUUGCGCAAUGGGCGAAAGCCUGACGCAACGACGCCACGUGGAGGAUGAAGCCCUUAGGGGUGUAAACUCCUGUCAGAAGGGAAGAAUGCAGGAAAUAACUUUUCCUGUUUGACUGUACCUUCAGAGGAAGCCCCGGCUAACUUCGUGCCAGCAGCCGCGGUAAUACGAAGGGGGCAAGCGUUGUUCGGAUUUACUGGGCGUAAAGGGCGUGCAGGCGGACCGAUAAGUCGUCUGUGAAAUCUGUCGGCUCAACCAACAACUUGCAGUCGAAACUAUCGGUCUUGAGUACAGGAGAGGAGAGCGGAAUCUCAGGUGUAGCGGUGAAAUGCGUAGAUAUCUGGGAGAACACCGGUGGCGAAGGCGGCUCUCUGGCCUGACACUGACGCUGAGGCGCGAAAGCUAGGGGAGCGAACGGGAUUAGAUACCCUGGUAGUC
rnacentral:rRNA from 1 species